GGAGGGCGCAAGCGUUGUUCGGAAUCAUUGGGCGUAAAGCGCGUGUAGGCGGCUUGGCAAGUCGGAUGUGAAAUCCCGGGGCUCAACCCCGGAACUGCAUUCGAAACUGCCUCGCUAGAGUCCCGGAGAGGAGGGCGGAAUUCCCGGUGUAGAGGUGAAAUUCGUAGAUAUCGGGAGGAACACCAGUGGCGAAGGCGGCCCUCUGGACGGUGACUGACGCUGAGAUGCGAAAGCGUGGGGAGCAAACAGGAUUAGAUACCCUGGUAGUCCACGCUGUAAACGUUGGGUGCUAGGUGUCGCGGGUAUUGACCCCUGCGGUGCCGACGCUAACGCAUUUAGCACCCCGCCUGGGGAGUACGGUCGCAAGGCUA
rnacentral:rRNA from 1 species